GUUGCGGUUAAAAAGCUCGUAGUUGGAUUUCUGCUGAAAGCGCUCGGUCCGCACUAUGUGCGUGUAUCUGGUGCGAUUUUGGCAUCCUUUUGAAAGACUCGUCUGCGCUUGAUUGCGUUGUCCAGAAUUCAAAACCUUUACUUUGAGGAAAUUAGAGUGUUCACGGCAGGUAUCAGUCUUGAAUAUAUUAGCAUGGAAUAAUAAGAUAGGAUUUUGGUUCUAUUUUUUUGGCUCCUAGGACCAGAAUAAUGAUCGAUAGGGAUAAUUGGGGGCAUUUGUAUUAACGCGUCAGAGGUGGAAUUCUUGGAUUGCGUUACGACAAACUACUGCGAAAGCAUUUGCCAAGGGUGUUUUCAUUGAUCAAGAACGAAAGUAUGGGGAUCGAAGAUGAUUAGAUACCGUCGUAGUCU
rnacentral:rRNA from 1 species